GACGAACGCUGGCGGCGUGCUUAACACAUGCAAGUCGAACGGACAGACAGAGAGCUUGCUCUCUUGAAGUUAGUGGCGAACGGGUGAGUAACGCGUAAUCAACCUGCCCUUCAGAGGGGGAUAACAACGGGAAACCGUUGCUAAUACCGCGUACGAUGCAUGAACGGCAUCGUUUAUGAAUGAAAGGUGGCCUCUAUGUAUAAGCUAUCGCUUAAGGAGGGUGUUGCGUCUGAUUAGCUAGUGGGAGGGGUAACGGCCCACCAAGGCAAGGAUCAGUAGCCGGUCGGAGAGGAUGAACGGCCACAUUGGGACUGAGAUACGGCCCAAACUCCUACGGGAGGGAGCAGUGGGGAAUCUUCCGCAAUGGACGAAAGUCUGACGGAGCAACGCCGCGUGAGUGAUGAAGGUCUUCGGAUUGUAAAGCUCUGUUAAUCGGGACGAAAGAGUUCUGCGUGAAUAAGGCAGAAAAGUGACGGUACCGGAAUAGAAAGCCACGGCUAACUACGUGCCAGCCGCCGCCGUAU
rnacentral:rRNA from 1 species